rnacentral:rRNA from 1 species
ACGAACGCUGGCGGCGUGCUUCACCCAUGCAAGUCGCACGGAAAGGCCCUGCUUUUGUGGGGUGCUCGAGUGGCGAACGGGUGAGUAACACGUGAGUAACCUGCCCUUGACUUUGGGAUAACUUCAGGAAACUGGGGCUAAUACCGGAUAGGAGCUCCUGCUGCAUGGUGGGGGUUGGAAGGUUUCGGCGGUUGGGGAUGGACUCGCGGCUUAUCAGCUUGUUGGUGGGGUAGUGGCUUACCAAGGCUUUGACGGGUAGCCGGCCUGAGAGGGUGACCGGCCACAUUGGGACUGAGAUACGGCCCAGACUCCUACGGGAGGCAGCAGUGGGGAAUAUUGCACAAUGGGCGGAAGCCUGAUGCAGCAACGCCGCGUGCGGGAUGACGGCCUUCGGGUUGUAAACCGCUUUCGCCUGUGACGAAGCGUGAGUGACGGUAAUGGGUAAAGAAGCACCGGCUAACUACGUG